UGGGGAAUAUUGCACAAUGGGCGAAAGCCUGAUGCAGCAACGCCGCGUGAGUGAUGAAGGUCUUCGGAUUGUAAAGCUCUGUCUUUUGGGACGAUAAUGACGGUACCAAAGGAGGAAGCCACGGCUAACUACGUGCCAGCAGCCGCGGUAAUACGUAGGUGGCGAGCGUUGUCCAGAUUUACUGGGCGUAAAGGGUGCGUAGGCGGAUGUUUAAGUGAGAUGUGAAAUACCCGGGCUUAACUUGGGUGCUGCAUUUCAAACUGGAUAUCUAGAGUGCAGGAGAGGAGAAUGGAAUUCCUAGUGUAGCGGUGAAAUGCGUAGAGAUUAGGAAGAACACCAGUGGCGAAGGCGAUUCUCUGGACUGUAACUGACGCUGAGGCACGAAAGCGUGGGUAGCAAACAGGAUUAGAUACCCUGGUAGUCCACGCCGUAAACGAUGAGUACUAGGUGUAGGAGGUAUCGACCCCUUCUGUGCCGCAGUAAACACAUUAAGUACUCCGCCUGGGAAGUACGAUCGCAAGAUUAAA
rnacentral:rRNA from 1 species